rnacentral:rRNA from 1 species
GACGAACGCUGGCGGCGUGCCUAAUACAUGCAAGUUGAGCGCUGAAGGUUGGUACUUGUACCGACUGGAUGAGCAGCGAACGGGUGAGUAACGCGUGGGGAAUCUGCCUUUGAGCGGGGGACAACAUUUGGAAACGAAUGCUAAUACCGCAUAAAAACUUUAAACACAAGUUUUAAGUUUGAAAGAUGCAAUUGCAUCACUCAAAGAUGAUCCCGCGUUGUAUUAGCUAGUUGGUGAGGUAAAGGCUCACCAAGGCGAUGAUACAUAGCCGACCUGAGAGGGUGAGCGGCCACAUUGGGAAUGAGACACGGGCCAAAAGCCUACGGGAGGCAGCAGGAGGGGAUCUUGGGGAAUGGACGAAAGUCUGACCGAGCAACGCCGAGUGAGGGAAGAAGGGUGUCGGAUCGGAAAAAUCUGUUGGUAGAGAAGAACGUUAGUGAGAGUGGAAAGCUCAUCAAGUGACGGUAACUACCCAGAAAGGGACGGCUAACUACGUG